UCUCCGAUCGUAUAGUGGUUAGUAUUUAGGCUUGUCAUCUGCAGUUAGACAACUCGCCGAAGUCCAGGGUUCGUUCAAUUCCCCGUCUGAGAG